CAGGGGUUUUAUAAGAGUUAAACGGUUAAGAAGUACAUUCAUGCUGCCCAAAAGUAAACGUGAUACCUGAGCUUGAAAAGGUCCUGAAAUUUGCCUAUAGAGGUGGGUGACAGCAGGGCUCCAGGCUGUUAGGGCGAAGGGACAGAGGAUUCUCUGAGAUCAAAGGAAUGUCAGGGCUCCAGAUGGGCAUGGAGGAGUGGUCGAGGUGGCUGGCAGAUGUUUAAGAUCUGUCUGUGUGCGUGCACAGUGCAUUCAGUAUAUUCCUGCCUGGCCUCAUGCAGCUGGAAGCCCAUUUCAGAACUCAUCUGGUGUUUCUCAGAAUGGAAUUCACAUGGCUUUCAAAGAUUCCCUCAUCUAGCAGUGGAAUCAGAACAAAUCUAUACUGGCAAUACAAUUGCUGCUGCAGAACUGACUGUAUUUUCUCCUUCUGCUGGAAGGGACACCUCUUGUUCUCCGGUAUGUGUACUUAGAGUUGCUGAGGUCUCAUUCCUCCAUUCAGUAAAUAGUCUCAGUGCCAGGUGCUCUGCUGGACUGAGGCUAUGACAACGAGUAAAAGCCAUCUCUUCCUUUUAAGAAGGAGAAGUAAACAUAUCAGAGUACAGGGUGACCCACUCCUGAUGUAAGAGUCCCUAGAGCAUUUAAACUACAAAAGAUAGAGGCGCUAACUACAAGGAUGAACCAAGAAAGGGUACCCAGUGAGCCAAGCACAGGGAUUACACGCCUGUAAUCCUAUGUGCUUAGGAAGUAGAAAUAGGAAGGUUGCAGUCCAAGACCAGUCCAGGUCAAAAUACAUAAAUAAAUAAAAGACCCUAUCUCAACAUCUGUAAUCCUAGCCAUGUAGGACCCAUAGGGAGAUUCACUGUCUGAAGCCUUCCUAGGUAACAAAUCAGGAGACCUUACCUGAAAAAUAGCUAAAGGGGGAAAAAAGCUGGGGGGGUGGCUCAAGUAGUUGAGUACCUGCCUAACAGGUGUGAGUCCUUGGGUUAAAAAAAAAAUCCCAGAGGAAAUGAUGUUUGGUCCCCUUAAGGGAUAUGUCAUGGAGAACAACUUUUCAGACAGAGAACAGAAGCAUUGGGUACAGAAGCCAGACACACAGCAGAGACAUGUAAGAGAGGGCAGCACUGUGGCAAGGCUGUAUGGCAUGUGGUGAGGGAAGAUGGAGCAAGGCAAACUGUAGUUGAGCACCAAGGCCCAAUUCUGCCAGUCUCAGGUACUGGAGCUUUUCCAGGAAGCAGUGAGGGAGGAGCCAUCUGAACUUCCCAAGGGAAGUGAUCUAUGCAAUUCUGUUUUAGAAAGGAAUGCCAAGCUGCAUCAGUUCUUCUCCAAAUGGGAACAGCUGUUGCACUGAGAGCAUCCGUUACCUGAUGAGCGUGGCCUGGUUACUGUCACCUCCCUGUGCUCAUUCAGACUCCUUCCCAGCAACCUAAGGAAUAGGUAUAUUAAAGCUGAAAGAAAA